rnacentral:rRNA from 1 species
GACGAACGCUGGCGGCGUGCUUAACACAUGCAAGUCGAACGAUGAACCCGGAGCUUGCUCCGGUGGAUUAGUGGCGAACGGGUGAGUAACACGUGAGUAACCUGCCCUUGACUCUGGGAUAACUGCGGGAAACUGUAGCUAAUACCGGAUACGACCCUCGGCGGCAUCGCCAGGGGGUGGAAAGAAUUUCGGUCAAGGAUGGACUCGCGGCCUAUCAGCUAGUUGGUGAGGUAACGGCUCACCAAGGCGACGACGGGUAGCCGGCCUGAGAGGAUGACCAGCCACACUGGAACUGAGACACGGUCCAGACUCCUACGGGAGGCAGCAGUGGGGAAUCUUGCGCAAUGGGGGCAACCCUGACGCAGCCAUACCGCGUGAGUGAUGAAGGUCUUCGGAUUGUAAAGCUCUUUCGGCGGGGACGACGAUGACGGUACCCGCAAAAGAAGUCACGGCUAACUUCGUGCCAGCCGCCGCCGUAA